UCGCCCUCUGCGGGGCGGCCCGACCUGCCCUUCACGGCCGCUGUGCUCGCUGAGGUCGCCGGGGGCUGGAGGCGCCGCCCGGCCCCGCUCGGAGGCGGUCGCUACUCGCCUCCACUCCCCCAGCUCCCCAGGGACUCAGCCGCGGUGCCGCUGCCGCGGGGGCCCCGGCGGGCGAACUGUUGGAGGAAGGAGGCUGACAGCAAGGAAGAGGAGGAACAACAUGCGACCCUUCCUCCGAGAGAAAUAGGCUCUGCCCUAGAGAAAAGACCGUUUUAGGUGGGGCCACUAGGCCCCUCCAGUCCCCGCACUCGUCCCGCCUCUGUCCUGGCCGCGGUGAAGGGAACACUCUCAUCCUUCGAUGUCUCUGGAGGCGUGUGCGGGGCAAAGCCCUGCCCGGACGCUGCUGCCGAGUCAGGGAGGGUGGACCAUACGGGGCCCAGUGGUCCCAGAUGCUGCUCCCUCAGAUCUGGGGCCUAUUCGGGGGCGAUCCUUUGCAGUUCUGAAACUUCUGGUCCCUCUCCUGCUUUCCGCAGACAUUGUUACUAGACGUCAUAGUUGACGUUGAGUGCUGGAGCAGCUCUCAUAUGCCGAAACCUCCAGAUUCAGAGACGGAAAGAAGCGGGGCGCCCGCUGUCAGCACCCAAGUCUAGUGGAACUGGGCAAGCCAGGGCAGAAGGGGCUCUCAUCGCUGAGGAGUCCUUAGGAUUUCCCUCCAGCUCACAUCCUACUAGAGCUCAAACGAUCACUGAGCGCACACUCAGUGCCAGGCGCUGAAGGGACACAUGUUGCCCUGGUCUCAUGAGCUUUCCAGUCCAGCAAAAAGACAACUGAGGCGCGUCCUGUGCACACUGCUCCGGCUCUUUUCCUCUUACCUGUGCCUUCCAGGGUCGCUGCCAGCACACGUCUGGUCCGUCCACACGGUCCGGGACACUCCGUGUUCAGAGGCCCUGGCUGUGUCAGCCAGUCCCGCAGUGGCUUCUCCUGUCUCAGAGACCUGCAGGAAUGCGCCGGCACUUGCUGCGGGCCUGUCCUGAGGAGAGCCGCUGCGUCAUAGGGCAGGGCAUGUGUGCUUCUCAUGAAUCCUGUCGAGCUGCCCCCACUCGCACCACCACACAGGACAGUGCCUCUUGCCCUGCAGCUUUGCCAGCAAGACGUUCAUGACCUCCCAGCCAAAGCCCCCAACGUUGAGGGGCAGAGACAGGCCUCCUGCUGCAGCCCGUCUGGCUUCCUGGCCUGCAGACACCAUGGCAGGAUAGAAUGAGU